rnacentral:rRNA from 1 species
UACGGAGGGGGCUAGCGUUGUUCGGAAUUACUGGGCGUAAAGCGCGCGUAGGCGGACCUGCAAGUUGGGGGUGAAAGCCCGAGGCUCAACCUCGGAAAUGCCUUCAAUACUGCGGGUCUCGAGUCCGGGAGAGGUGAGUGGAAUUCCUAGUGUAGAGGUGAAAUUCGUAGAUAUUAGGAAGAACACCAGUGGCGAAGGCGGCUCACUGGCCCGAUACUGACGCUGAGGUGCGAAAGCGUGGGGAGCAAACAGG